UGUCAAUAAAGGCCGUUGCAAUGACGUUCAUCUGAAAACGUGAUCCUAGGCCUACAGCCUGUAUUCUUUUCAUGGAUAGGCCUAUAUAUUAUCAUAUAAUAUUGAAUGUCCAAUCGUGCUAUUUUCAGUAAUCAUAUAUAUAUAUAUAUAUAGAAAUACAUACAACGUGUGAUACUUUCCAAUAUCAAUUAUUUAUCCGCUUCACAACAAAUUCAGUUGGCUACAUUCAAUAUAAUUACGUACAAAUUUCUGUUGAUUUAACAUGGUGAAAUAGUACGGCUUGGUCAAAUUAAUGUUGUUCGGUUUGUUGUGUUAGCUGAUAGUAGCCUACCUGGUACCUGUUUCUUGGUGACACCUGUUCUUGGUUACAUGGAUGAAGGCCGGGUCGGGUUGCUUGUGCAGGUAACUCAAGAAGAGGACGUUCCGCUGAAUCAUUCUUCGCGCACAGGGCUGCGAGUUCGGAUUCCGGCAUAGACUGACCUCACCUGGCCAUAACUUUAUGCACGCGGACGCGCAGUGCAAAUUAGCUUAUUGGUCUUCCACAGGACAACCAUAGAGUGUGAGGAGUCUUCAGCAGUCAGUGCAUUGUGGGAGGAGUCUUCACCAAGUGGGAGAAGUUUAUUCUUCAGAAGGAUGGCAGGACCUGGCAUUGCUCUGAGAUUACAUGCGUUUAAAGAGCCCUCAUGUCCCAACGCAGCUGCACCAAAUAGAGUCACGCGUCAGGGGAGGGACACGCUUGGCCUGUAUCCAGGACAACUGGGACGGGUCCAUGUGGCUCCUUCAUCCAAUCACAGAGUGAGGUUUGCCAGCGUGGAGUUUCGCUCCGGUGCUCUGCAGGAGAACCGUGAGGAGCGCUACCCAGAAUCCUUUGAUCUGCAGACGCUGCGUGCUCUCCAGCUUGCCCGUGAGACCAGCGGCAGCCCGCAUGGACGAAGUACCGCCACCAGCCACCAGGCGGCGUUUGGCUCCCUGUCCUGCCUCUACCCUCCGGGUGACAGAAAAUUCACACCAGUCUCACAUCCAGGGCCUCUGAAACGUACGGAUCCAUCUGCAAUACGAAAGCAGCCUGCAGAGGGCGCUUUCUGAACAGCCUAUUUGAGUGCAUUUUCUACAUACAAUACAGUCACACGGCUUGAUACUGUAUUUUCUGAAGCAAUUUGUGGUUAAAUACUUUGUUCAGGGAUACAACGGCAGUGCCCCAGCUGGGAAUCAAACCCACAACCUCAAGCCCAGUUCCUUAACCACUCAACUCUUCCACCACCCAGUCAUAACAAACAAUUAAAACGCUAAAAUAUCUGAUGUACUGUGAUUGGUUAACCCAUCUGGAAUGUUGACACUGAAAUACUGUUGUUUCUGUUUCUAGUGCCAUGUUAUAACCUUGGUAACUGUGGUGAACACAUCAAGACAGGUACAAAGCAGUUUCAAAGUUAGACACUUUUAUUUUCUGGGCUUUAGUUUGGGUAAUUAAAUGUCCAUGUAUCCGAGAGACCCGAACCAUACCAUCAGAUUCAAUGUGGAAGAUGAAAAGUACAAUAAAUUCUUAAAAGGCAAACAUGCAACCGUCUCCAGAAUCACCUUACUGAACCCUGUAUAUAACAGCACUGAGAGCAACAGAAUGUCCAAACACAUCGAUACGCACGCACGCACACACUAGAAUAAGACCGGUCUACAACUCUGCUCCUGGAGAUCUGGUUUUCAUCGUAACUCAGCACUUGAGUUAAAUUAAAGCAAGACACCACACAGGCAACUCACCAGAUCUAGGUUUCUGAAUCUGAACUAGUUGCUCAUUUUCAAAUUAGCAGACUCUGUGGCUCCCCAGGACUAGGGUUGCAGACCACAAAUUUAUCCCUGACUUCUUUUAACCUGUUGUUCUGUCUUCCGACACCAAGGGGGCGAUGCAGAACUUUUGGAAUUAAUCAUUCAGCAGCUGCAGGGGUGUUCAAUCUUUUCCAAAAAAAAAAAAAAUGUUGAUGGGGGUCCAGGCUUUUGUUAAAGCCA